UCCACUGUUGCGUUUUUCAUACGUACGUAUACGCACGUAAAACUUUAAAUCCGUUUAAAUGUUACUUUCGGAAAUAACCAAAUAAAUAGAGCAACAGAAUUUAGUGUUCCACAAGUUUUAGUAUGCAUUUGUUAACUUAUUUAUAAAAUAUUUAAAAAAUUGAAGGAUUCAAAGUCUUACGUGCGUGUACGUGCGUACGAAAAACGCAACAGUGGA
rnacentral:miRNA from 1 species